rnacentral:rRNA from 1 species
AGGGCACCACCAGGAGUGGAGCCUGCGGCUUAAUUUGACUCAACACGGGAAAACUUACCUGGUCCUGACACUAGAAGGAUUGACAGAUUGAUAGCUCUUUCUUGAUUUGGUGGAUGGUGGUGCAUGGCCGUUCUUAGUUGGUGGAGUGAUUUGUCUGGUUAAUUCCGAUAACGAACGAGACUCUAGCCUAUUAAAUAACACGCAGAAUCUUGUCUUCUGCGGUGUUUCUUAAUGGGAUCAAGUGUGUUUAACGCUUUGAAACAGAGCAAUAACAGGUCUGUGAUGCCCUUAGAUGUUCGGGGCUGCACGCGCGCUACAUUGAAAGACAAAAUGAGCCUUCUAGUUUUUAAUAAAGCUAGUAAUCUUUGAAUGUUUUUCUUAAUGGGGAUAGGGGAUUGCAAUUGUGCCCCUUGAACGAGGAAUUCCCAGUAAGUGCUAAUCAUUAGUUAGUACUGAUUACGUCCCUGCCCUUUGUACGCACCGCCCGUCGCUACUACCGAUUGAAUGGUUUAGUGAGAU